rnacentral:rRNA from 1 species
CCGAAAGGGUGACGAAGCGACGCCGCGUGGGUGGGGAAGGCCUUCGGGUUGUAAAGCCCUGUCAGGAGUUAAGAAAUGUAAGUGCGCUAAUAUCGCAUUUAUUUGACGAAGGCUCCAAAGGAAGUCACGGCUAACUCUGUGCCAGCAGCCGCGGUAAUACAGAGGUGGCAAGCGUUGUUCGGAAUUAUUGGGCGUAAAGAGCACGUAGGUGGGUUUGUAAGUCAGAUGUGAAAGCCUUCUGUUCAACGGAAGAAUUGCAUCUGAAACUGCGAGUCUUGAGUGUAGGAGGGGAGAAUGGAACUUCUGGUGGAGCGGUGAAAUGCGUAGAUAUCAGAAGGAACGCCGGCGGCGAAAGCGAUUCUCUGGCCUAUUACUGACACUCAGUGUGCGAA